rnacentral:rRNA from 1 species
AUUGAACGCUGGCGGCAUGCCUUACACAUGCAAGUCGAACGGCAGCGCGGACUUCGGUCUGGCGGCGAGCGGCGAACGGGUGAGUAAUACAUCGGAACGUACCCUGUUGUGGGGGAUAACUAGUCGAAAGAUUAGCUAAUACCGCAUACGACCUGAGGGUGAAAGUGGGGGACCGCAAGGCCUCACGCAGCAGGAGCGGCCGAUGUCUGAUUAGCUAGUUGGUGGGGUAAAGGCCCACCAAGGCGACGAUCAGUAGCUGGUCUGAGAGGACGAUCAGCCACACUGGGACUGAGACACGGCCCAGACUCCUACGGGAGGCAGCAGUGGGGAAUUUUGGACAAUGGGGGCAACCCUGAUCCAGCAAUGCCGCGUGUGUGAAGAAGGCCUUCGGGUUGUAAAGCACUUUUGUCCGGAAAGAAAUCGCGCUGGUUAAUACCUGACGUGGAUGACGGUACCGGAAGAAUAAGCACCGGCUAACUACGUGCCAGCCGCCGCCGUAA